GACGAACGCUGGCGGCGUGCUUAACACAUGCAAGUCGAGGGCACUUGCUCAGCAAUGGUCAAGUGACCGGCGAACGGGUGCGUAACACGUGAGCGACCUUGCCUCGUGGUGGGGGGAUAGCCGGCCCAACGGCCGGGUAAUACCGCAUAGGGUGGUCUUUUCGCAUGGAGAGACUAGCAAAGCCCUGGAGCAAUCCAGUGGCGCCACAGGGGGGCGUCGCGGCCUAUCAGCUAGUUGGGGGGUAAGUGCCCACCAAGGCGACGACGGGUAGCUGGUCUGAGAGGAUGGCCAGCCACAUU
rnacentral:rRNA from 1 species